GUAGCACCAACCCAAUUUUUUUUUCUCCUUUCCGGAAAACCCAUAUCCAAUUCUCCAAAUAAAACAUUCCAAAACAUUACCCACCAGCAACCCAAAAAUAAUAACCCAACUAAAAUGCAUAACCUGACCCAACUCUGUUCUCCCUCUUCAACGUUAACAACAGUUGGAAAAUGGCAAGAUGCGUGAAUGUCCCUGACCCCUUGUACGCGUUUUUCUCCUCCCAAGCGAGGGCGAAUCAAUGACGCUCCAACGUCUCUUUCUCCCUUUUCCGCAUUGUACAACUUUUCACCAGCUGUAGCCGUCUGCAGAAUCGUCCUUGCAUCCCUGAUUUUUGCCUUUGAUGCUUGGAGAUUGAGCCACGUAGCUUCGCCAUGUACGAUCGAUUUGAUCUAGCCGUCUACCCCCCUUUCCCUUUCAGAAUGGGGUUGAAGUUUCAGAGAAAGGUGUUCGUCCAAAAAUGGUUCUGGUCGUUGAAGUGCUUUGAAGAAGACUGGACGAAGCCUUGGAUCUCUUAUUCAUCCAAGUAGGGUAGGUCCUCAAUUUCCGAGGGCGAUACCACUAUCUAGAUUAUGGAGUUGCUUUUAGUUCAAGAAUUCUAUGGUUCUUUCUUUCCAUUUAGCAUGAAACAUUGUAUAGCCCAUGUGAGACAUUUUUACUUUGAUGUAUGGGUUAUGCUCAAGUUCUUA